CCUGAUAGAGCUCCUGGAAGGCCUCAAGUUCAACCUCACAAAGACCCCCGAGGCAGAAAUCCACCAGGGCUUCCAGCACCUCCUGCAGG
rnacentral:pre_miRNA from 1 species